rnacentral:rRNA from 1 species
UUGGAGGGCAAGUCUGGUGCCAGCAGCCGCGGUAAUUCCAGCUCCAAUAGCGUAUAUUAAAGUUGUUGCAGUUAAAAAGCUCGUAGUUGAAUUUCGGGAUUAGCAGGUCGGUCGUGCCACUGGUACGUACUGGUCUUGCUGAUUCCUCCCUCUUGACGAGCCGUAAUGCCAUUAAUUUGGUGUUGCGGGGAAUCAGGACUGUUACUUUGAAAAAAUUAGAGUGUUUAAAGCAGGCAUGCGCUUGAAUACAUUAGCAUGGAAUAAUGAAAUAGGACGUUCGAUCUUAUUUUGUUGGUUUCUAGGAUUGACGUAAUGAUUAAUAGGGAUAGUUGGGGGCAUUAGUAUUCAAUUGUCAGAGGUGAAAUUCUUGGAUUUAUUGAAGACUAACUACUGCGAAAGCAUUUGCCAAGGAUGUUUUCAUUAAUCAAGAACGAAAGUUAGGGGAUCGAAGACGAUCAGAUACCGUCGUAGUCUUAACCAUAAACUAUGCCGACUAGGGAUCGGAUGAUGUUAAUUUUUUAAUGACUCAUUCGGCGCCUUACGGGAAAC